rnacentral:rRNA from 1 species
GGAGUUAGCCGGUGCUUCUUCUGCGAGUAACGUCACAGAUGUAAGGUAUUAACUUACACCCUUUCCUCCUCGCUGAAAGUGCUUUACAACCCGAAGGCCUUCUUCACACACGCGGCAUGGCUGCAUCAGGGUUUCCCCCAUUGUGCAAUAUUCCCCACUGCUGCCUCCCGUAGGAGUCUGGGCCGUGUCUCAGUCCCAGUGUGGCUGAUCAUCCUCUCAGACCAGCUAGGGAUCGUCGCCUAGGUGAGCCUUUACCUCACCUACUAGCUAAUCCCACCUGGGCUUAUCCAUCAGCGCAAGGCCCGAAGGUCCCCUGCUUUCCCCCGUAGGGCGUAUGCGGUAUUAGCAGUCGUUUCCAACUGUUAUCCCCCACAAAUGGGCAAAUUCCCAGGCAUUACUCACCCGUCCGCCGCUCGUCAUCUUCAAAAGCAAGCUUUUGAAAUGUUACCGCUCGACUUGCAUGUGUUAGGCCUGCCGCCAGCGUUCAAUCUGAACCAAGAAUCAAAUUACUGA